UAAUUAGAUUUGGUUUUAUAUAAAAAUAUAAAUAUAUUUUUUAUGAUUUUAUUAAAAAAAUAAAUCUCAGAAAAUUAAAUUUAUUUAAUAAUAAAAUAUUAUUGAAAUAUAUAUAAAGAUUUUUAGCUAAAUUUGUGCCAGCAGCAGCUGGUUAACAAAUAAAAAUUUUUAUAUUAUUNAAAANUAUUNAAAAAAAAAUAUUUUNAAAUGUAUUUUUCANAA
rnacentral:rRNA from 1 species